GGACGAACGCUGGCGGCGUGCUUAACACAUGCAAGUCGAACGAUGAACCACUUCGGUGGGGAUUAGUGGCGAACGGGUGAGUAACACGUGGGCAAUCUGCCCUGCACUCUGGGACAAGCCCUGGAAACGGGGUCUAAUACCGGAUAUGACCCUCGCAGGCAUCUGUGAGGGUGUAAAGCUCCGGCGGUGCAGGAUGAGCCCGCGGCCUAUCAGCUUGUUGGUGAGGUAACGGCUCACCAAGGCGACGACGGGUAGCCGGCCUGAGAGGGCGACCGGCCACACUGGGACUGAGACACGGCCCAGACUCCUACGGGAGGCAGCAGUGGGGAAUAUUGCACAAUGGGCGAAAGCCUGAUGCAGCGACGCCGCGUGAGGGAUGACGGCCUUCGGGUUGUAAACCUCUUUCAGCAGGGAAGAAGCGAAAGUGACGGUACCUGCAGAAGAAGCGCCGGCUAACUACGUGCCAGCAGCCGCGGUAAUACGUAGGGCGCAAGCGUUGUCCGGAAUUAUUGGGCGUAAAGAGCUCGUAGGCGGCUUGUCGCGU
rnacentral:rRNA from 1 species